CCUACGGGAGGCAGCAGUCGGGAAUUUUGGGCAAUGGGCGAAAGCCUGACCCAGCAACGCCGCGUGAAGGAUGAAAUCCUUCGGGAUGUAAACUUCGCAAGAACGGGAAGAAUAAGUGAGGGUCAAUAUCUCUCACGAUGACGGUACCGUUUGUAAGCUCCGGCUAACUCCGUGCCAGCAGCCGCGGUAAUACGGGGGGAGCAAGCGUUGUUCGGAUUUACUGGGCGUAAAGGGCGCGUAGGCGGCCACCGCAAGUCGACUGUGAAAUCUCCGGGCUUAACCCGGAAAGGUCAGCCGAUACUGCGGGGCUAGAGUGCAGAAGGGGCAACUGGAAUUCUCGGUGUAGCGGUGAAAUGCGUAGAUAUCGAGAGGAACACCUGCGGCGAAGGCGGGUUGCUGGGCUGACACUGACGCUGAGGCGCGAAAGCUAGGGGAGCGAACGGGAUUAGAUACCCCGGUAGUCCUAGCCUUAAACGAUGAAUGCUUGGUGCCUGGGCUUUUAUAGUCCCCGGGUGCCGUCGCUAACGCUUUAAGCAUUCCGCCUGGGGAGUACGGUCGCAAGACUGAAACUCAAAGGAAUUGACGG
rnacentral:rRNA from 1 species